rnacentral:rRNA from 1 species
CCAGCAGCCGCGGUAAUUCCAGCUCCAGUAGCGUAUAUUAAAGUUGUUGCAGUUAAAAAGCUCGUAGUUGGAAGUCUGUGCGGGAAAAGGAAUGGCUCUGCCGUGCCUGGUCCUGCACAUCCGUCAGAACAGACUCAGUGGCAUUGAGUUGUCGCUGUGUUGAUCUGGCACUUUACCUUGAGCAAAUUAGAGUGUUCCAGGCAGGCCAGCGCCUGAAUAGUCCAGCAUGGAAUAAUAGAAUAGGACUGAGCUCCAUUUAUUGGUGUUAUGGCGCUCGGUAAUGAUUAAUAGGGAUAGUUGGGGGCAUUCGUAUUUAAUUGUCAGAGGUGAAAUUCUAUGAUUUAUUAAAGACGAACCUAUGCGAAAGCAUUUGCCAAGGAUGUUUUCAUUAAUCAAGAACGAAAGUU